AGUGACUUUGAACCCCUAGAAAAAUUGAAUAAAAGAUCAUAGGUUUGGCUCACCUUUUCCCAAAUUCUUAAGAAAAGGUCAUUCUGAGCUAGGAGGAGAACCACGAACUUGCUCAAGUAACUACUAAGCGGAGGCAAAAGCAAGGACUCCAAGAACCCCUCCAUCGUGGUGACAGUAGGCCCCAUCGUGUCUUUAUUCCAUACCGUGACCCACAUCGAUCCCACCAGCCACACCCGCACGAUCGCCAUCCUGUCCACCCGCUGGAGUGCCCACCAGGACCCACCCUCCUCGAGCCUCCUGAUCUUUCACACUUGCUCCUCCGCUAGCUGUCUUGUGUUUACCUUGAUUGCCACCACCGCCAUUGCAUACUUUGCCCCGAUCUCUGUCAAUAGUGUAGGGGAGGAGGAGGUGGCAGUAGCGACGGUGGUGGUGGUGGCAGUGAUGGUGGUGGCCAUGUAGAUGGCCAAGGGCUAGGGCUCUUUUUUCUUUUGGUAAGGAAACAUCGGGAGACGGUGUGACAAACACCGAAAGAUCUUAGGUCUAGAAUAUGGAAUAGAGCUUAAAGUUUUAAGCC
rnacentral:lncRNA from 1 species